rnacentral:rRNA from 1 species
UACGAAGGGGGCUAGCGUUGCUCGGAAUGACUGGGCGUAAAGGGCGCGUAGGCGGCGCAUCAAGUCAGGCGUGAAAGCCCUGGGCUCAACCCGGGAAUUGCGCUUGAGACUGGUGUGCUUGAGUACGGGAGAGGAUAGUGGAAUUCCCAGUGUAGAGGUGAAAUUCGUAGAUAUUGGGAAGAACACCGGUGGCGAAGGCGGCUAUCUGGACCGUAACUGACGCUGAGGCGCGAAAGCGUGGGGAGCAAACAGG